rnacentral:rRNA from 1 species
GUAGGGGGCAAGCGUUGUCCGGAUUUAUUGGGCGUAAAGAGCGUGUAGGCGGCUUCACAAGUCCGCUGUGAAAACUCGAGGCUCAACCUCGAGCUGUCGGUGGAAACUGUGUAGCUAGAGUCCGGAAGAGGAGAGUGGAAUUCCCGGUGUAGCGGUGAAAUGCGCAGAUAUCGGGAAGAACACCCGUGGCGAAGGCGGCUCUCUGGGACGGUACUGACGCUGAGACGCGAAAGCGUGGGGAGCGAACAGGAUUAGAUACCCUGGUAGUCCACGCCGUAAACGAUGGGUGCUAGGUGUGGGGGGUGUCGACUCCCUCCGUGCCGAAGCUAACGCAUUAAGCACCCCGCCUGGGGAGUACGGCCGCAAGGCUA